rnacentral:tmRNA from 1 species
GGGGGUGAAAGGCUUUCGACCUAAGAAUGAGGUAAAGGGUUGCAUACCGUGGGGGUAAGCCCACCCGAUAGUUGGGUUUACAAAAAAAUAAACGCAAAACCUUUUGUUGGCGUUCCUGAGUUACACCUAGUCGGGUAAUUCGGCCCUUUUGUUUUUUGCCUCAGGGGACAUGAGGGUUCGGCUAUGAGGCUAGAAGUAAACUUUUUGUUUUGAAGGUUUGCUUUGAAACAAAUCAAAGCUGCUUUUUGGCAAAUCCUGUUCUUCGGAGCUGCCAGGAAAAAGAUAAACGAAGAAAUAAGUAUGUAGGAGCUCUUUGCUAACUUUUUAGGGACCGGGGUUCGAGUCCCCGCACCUCCACCA